GCUGCAGCUGCGUAUAAACUUCCAGGCGCGAUAGCUUGCCCACCUAAAGAUGAGGGCCCCUUCCUGUUAUGUCAUCAGAAAGCCCCUCCCCCAGAGUGGCUCUUGGGAUGCUAAGCGAGAGCAUGCUGGUAAUCACAGAAGUCCGGUUUUCCCAGUAAAUAACAAAAGGAUGACACGCUUGAAUAGCAUUGAUCAGCGCCUUCGGUACAUUGUAUAAUGUAGAACACUUUUUCCUGAAACGCCCAUAUAAAUGUAGUCCUUGACCUCCGGAGGCUUCCUUUGUGAAAAGAAGACCUUACUAAAAUUUUAAGAAGAAAGAGAAUUUUCACAGCCAUCUAUUACUGUGUCACUCCUCGUCACGAAUCGUACCGACUGUG
rnacentral:lncRNA from 1 species